CCUACGGGAGGCUGCAGUGAGGAAUAUUGGUCAAUGGGCGUAAGCCUGAACCAGCCAAGUCGCGUGAGGGAUGAAGGUUCUAUGGACCGUAAACCUCUUUUAUAAGGGAGUAAAGUGUGGGACGUGACUUGUCUUGAAUGUACCUUAUGAAUAAGGAUCGGCAAACUUCGUGCCAGCAGCCGCGCUAAUAGGGGGGAUCCGUGCGUUAUCUGGUUUGAUUGGGUUUAACGGGUGCGAAGGCGGGCCAGUAGGCCGGCGGUGAAGUCGCGGGGCUCAACCCCGCCGAGCCGUCGGAACUGGGGGACUUGAGUGCGGAGGAGGCAUGCGGAAUGCGAGGUGUAGCGGUGGAAUGCGUAGAUAUCGCGCAGAACCCCGAUUGCGAAGGCAGCGUGCCGUGCCGCCACUGACGCUGAGGCACGAAAGCGCGGGGAGCGAACAGGAUUAGAUACCCUGGUAGUC
rnacentral:rRNA from 1 species